AGAGAGGUUGAAGAGUUUUAGAGUGAUGAACAUUACAUUUUUGCAGUCAUUUGAGAGGAGGAGAGAGAAUGUGUAAAUUUUUCUUUAUGUAGGGAGACAAAAAAUCUAAUUAUGUUAAAUAUUUUUGAUUCAGACGACUUCCUAGACGAAUUACUUGUAAGUCGUCCAGAAGACUUUAAUAUUUUUAGCGGAAAAUUAAAAUAUUUUUAGUGUGAAACUAAAAUAGAAGACUUCUGGUUUAAAUUAUUUAAACGGGAAAAUAAUUUUUUUUAAAUUUUAGGCGG
rnacentral:lncRNA from 1 species